rnacentral:rRNA from 1 species
AGUGAACGCUGGCGGUAGGCCUAACACAUGCAAGUCGAACGGCAGCACAGUAAGAGCUUGCUCUUACGGGUGGCGAGUGGCGGACGGGUGAGGAAUACAUCGGAAUCUACUUUUUCGUGGGGGAUAACGUAGGGAAACUUACGCUAAUACCGCAUACGACCUACGGGUGAAAGCAGGGGAUCUUCGGACCUUGCGCGACUGAAUGAGCCGAUGUCGGAUUAGCUAGUUGGCGGGGUAAAGGCCCACCAAGGCGACGAUCCGUAGCUGGUCUGAGAGGAUGAUCAGCCACACUGGACCUGAGACACGGUCCAGACUCCUACGGGAGGCAGCAGUGGGGAAUAUUGGACAAUGGGCGCAAGCCUGAUCCAGCCAUACCGCGUGGGUGAAGAAGGCCUUCGGGUUGUAAAGCCCUUUUGUUGGGAAAGAAAAGCAGCAGGUUAAUACCCCGCUGUUCUGACGGUACCCAAAGAAUAAGCACCGGCUAACUUCGU